UGGGGAAUUUUGGACAAUGGGCGCAAGCCUGAUCCAGCCAUGCCGCGUGUCUGAAGAAGGCCUUCGGGUUGUAAAGGACUUUUGUCAGGGAAGAAAAGGCUGUUGCUAAUAUCGACAGCUGAUGACGGUACCUGAAGAAUAAGCACCGGCUAACUACGUGCCAGCAGCCGCGGUAAUACGUAGGGUGCGAGCGUUAAUCGGAAUUACUGGGCGUAAAGCGAGCGCAGACGGUUACUUAAGCAGGAUGUGAAAUCCCCGGGCUCAACCUGGGAACUGCGUUCUGAACUGGGUGACUAGAGUGUGUCAGAGGGAGGUAGAAUUCCACGUGUAGCAGUGAAAUGCGUAGAGAUGUGGAGGAAUACCGAUGGCGAAGGCAGCCUCCUGGGAUAACACUGACGUUCAUGCUCGAAAGCGUGGGUAGCAAACAGGAUUAGAUACCCUGGUAGUCCACGCCCUAAACGAUGUCAAUUAGCUGUUGGGCAACUUGAUUGCUUAGUAGCGUAGCUAACGCGUGAAAUUGACCGCCUGGGGGAGUACGGUCGCAAGAUUA
rnacentral:rRNA from 1 species